GCGAGUAUGGCCCUCACGGGUCUAAUCCACCAUAAACACCUUUGUGAACCAGUCAGGGGGACUCGGCCGUGAAAGCCCAGGCGAUUAGCGGAAGGGCCCUCCUUUGCAAACCCGUUUAGAAGUCUUGAAAGUACUUUUGUAUAAUCUAGUAC
rnacentral:misc_RNA from 1 species